AGCUAAUCAUUUUAUUUUUAUUUACAUAUUUACAAGGAGCUUUAGGCUCACCCAGCACUUUCAGAGCAGUAAAGAGAAUCAAAAUCAAAACAUGGUCUUUGCCCCAAGAGCUUACAAUCUAUUUUCACUUUUCCAGUAUUUUCCAGAACUGUCCUAAAUGAGUCUUUUAGGAGACAGUUUGAAUAUACAAUAGUAAUUGCAAUAUCUGCAGAACCCAGACAACUCAGAAAUAAAUUUAUUUUAUCCCAGACAUAGCUAUCAGGGUUGUGAAUAUGUAAAUAGGUCCCAGCCUUUCACACCUGAAUGAAUGGAUUAUAUCCUGCAGAAACCUGCUUGGUUUGAGAGAUUUAAUUAAGACAGAAAUGCAAGAGUUUUCUUGGGACAAACAGGAUUACAGCAUUUCAUAGAUAAUAUGAAAAAUUUUAUAAACAUGUCACAGUCACAAAACUUAACAUUAGUUGGUUGGAUAUUCUUUCUGUGCUUCUGGGUGAAUCUGAAUUCAGCAAUGAGCAAAAAUCAUGAUAGCGAUGAAAUUCUUUGGCAGAGGGGAAUGGUAGUGCGCAAACCAGGACUCUUCCAGCAAACAAGCAAAUUGGAAAACUAAGAUUACAUACCCAGUAUUGACUACCAGAAACUUCAGUGAAGCCACUCAGAGUUAAAAAUGUCUCCAAAGAUGGGGCACCUGGGUGGCUUAGUCAGUUGAGUGCCUGACUCUUGGUUUUGGCUGAGUUCCUGAUCUCUCUGCUCAGCAGAGUCUGCUUGAGACCCUCUCUCUCUUUCUCCUUCUGCUACCCCCACCCAAAUAAAUAAAUAAUCUUAAAAAAAAAAAAAAAACUUCAACUAUGACUGCCUAUAUACAUAUGCAUUAAAACUAAGGGAAAUAAGAAUUAUAAUCUUCUUGAGGGCAAGGAACAUUUCCUAUCUUGGUGGGCACUGGGUUUUGGUCACUGUUGGCACCUCAUCCUCUUGCCUUCUAUGUGAUUUUCACAUUAUAUGUGAGUUAGAGCCUGCACCGCUUGCCUGGCCUGUGUGCUUCCAGAUUUCCCUGUUAUUCCCAGCAUAAAACUCGUGCUGCCCUCGGGUACUGCAAUUACAUCUCCGUCUUUACCACAAGACCAUGAAUUCUUUGAUGGUGUCUUUGAUCCCUGUAUCCCCAGAGCUUUGCCCAGAGCCUGACACAAAAUAGGUUUUUCAAUAAAUGCUGGUUGAUUGAAUAAAUGAAUUAAGGGAUGGAUAGAUAGAUGGAAUUAAUUGAACUGAACUAAUCAUAAAUGGUAAUUUUAUGUUCUAAACUUAAUCACUGUUCACUUUAACUCUCUCAGGAAAUCUAUUCAUGUUCCUCAUUUCUUUUCUCCCUAAAUACACAGGCAUCAAUUGAAUGAUUUUAAAGGGUGCCGUACUGAUUAGGAAUCCUACUUUUGCUCCCGAAAUAGACAUUUUAAAAAGUCCUUCUGUGUCUGUAUCACCAAAUAUUUCUUUGCAUAGGGUGAGUCACUGUUAUGCCACUCAAGAUUAAAAAUAAAUGGGCAACUUUGUUAUUUGGUUCCAUAGUAGUUAUUCAGAUAGGCUUUAAUAUCAUUAUAUUAUAUAUGAACAUUUUAUAUACAUAAUCCUUUCAUCUUUUAAAAGAGAAUCAUCUUUCAAAACACUCUGGAUUAAUCUAAAGUAUUUCAGAGAUUAAAAGGAGAAUUAUUUAAUUCCAUUUUGCAUGUGGAGAAUGUUAUUUCUGUUUGUAUGAAUAGUAAGUACAUUAAUGGCAUUUUUCUAUGCCCCCAUGCCAGGUAUUGUGUGAGAUGCGGGAGAUAGAGGGCGAUGAGAACAAAGGAAGGGUUAAUCUCUAACCUCAUGGAUCUCAGGUCUCACAAAUCCAGUGAUUCUGGAUGGCUAGAUGAUGUUCUUGAGAUUUCACAGUCAGAGGUACAAACUGUUCCCCACUUUCUGCGCCUCCCUGCUCACUGGUGUUUGGUGUGCGGUUCCAUGAGCCCUAUACUGUCUGUAAGCCACCAUCUCUAGCUUACUGCCUUCUGCCACACAUCAAGUUUUACAUAAAAGGGAAAAUUAAGCUCUCAUUCAACAAAUAAUUAUUGAGUAACUGUUAAGGUAAAAUGCAGAGUGCUAGAGGCAUAAUACAGUUUUUCAUCAGUCUUUUAAUAUCUUCCUGUCAAGCUACAGGAUGGGAAGCUGAGCGAGGGGAAUCAGGAAAUAGGAGCUUGUCAAGAAGAACACAAUUGAAGUCAGAAACCAGAAUCAACUCUUAAAAACAAUUAAAUCAGAAUUUUUUAUGUUACAAGGAAAAUCAUUCAUGCUUUGCCUUCCCUUAAAAGAAUAAUCACAAUGAAAACAUAAAUCUAUGGUAAGAGAGAUAGAUGGUGAAAGAAAGACACGCUUUCAUUUUUUUUCCCCUCGAAGCAUACAUCUGAAUUUAAUUGUGCAAAGUCAAUGGUGUCAAGAAAGUAGCAAGUGAGUUUUGUUUGCAAAAUUCCAAUUUGCAAAUGGAAUCAAUUACGGUAACACAAAGGCAUUUAUUGGCUAAUCUUCUAGAUAACUGAAUCAUAGUUUAAUCUCAAAAAUGUGUAUCCAUUUUCUCACCAAGCAAUACAUGCUGUCUUUUUCUUAAAUAUAGGGCACGAUGUCCUUUUGGUUAUUAAAGAAGUAAGCUACUGUCCGGAAACGAGAAUUUCCUGUCCUCUCAAGGUCCUUCUAGCUGGACUAAGAAUCAAACUGACAUGAGACAGAUUAACAGGAGAAACUAAAAUUUUAUUUUGUAUGUACAGGGAAUCCACACAGACAUGGUAAUUCCAAAGGCAGUCAAGCAAAAUGAGGUAUAUGUGGGGGUAGGGUCUGGGACUUUGAAAGGAAGGAAUGACUUCUCAGGGCAAUAAGAAGAACAGAUGUUUAGUAAUUAGUUGUUCGCCCUGCCAUACAGAUGGGUCACUCACAUAAAAUGUAUCUCUGAAAGUCACCAUUAUUCUGGCAAAUUUAGAUCCUUCUGUGAAGUUAAUGGAGGGGUAAAAACUUAAAACAAUCUUAAUACCCUCGGCUCCUACAGUUCAGAUGUGUUCUUGUUGUUUUUCAAAAGGCAAUUCAACAAAAAUCUUAAGGAAUAAAGCAGUGACCUAUAGUAAAGUAUCAUAUUUUAACACUAGACCCAGUUGCCAUAACAGCAAAAUGUAUCUUGCUUUAAAUCAUAGAUUAUCAGGGAUUCUUUCUCAUCUAAUGACCUAAAACACGAUCCACAACUCUCCUUGGUCCUUCUAUGGGAAAUGCAGCUGAAAUGACACCAGUCACUGACUUCCUUUUAUUUAGUUCCUGAAACUUUGAAAAAAGGUCAGAUUUGGGGAGGGUCUACUUUAUCUUUAAACAGAGUGUAUAUAAAAUGUGAAAAAUUUAAAAAAGAGCUUCAUUUGAAACUUUCAAACUGGAAGAAGAGAGGGCUCACAGAUUUAGUGAUGGCAUAGCAGCUUUCACUGUGAGGUUCCUGGCAUGGGUUCUGCCUAAAUCAGCAGUUAUCAGAAUUGCUACCAACUAGAAAAAAAAUAAUCUCUCACAUUGCUGAAUUAUUGGUACAAUGAGCAAUCUCAGUGGCAACAAGAGUCAACAUGGGCCCAAAGAAUUAAUCUUUCAGAUUGUUUUUUCUCUGUAACAUUUAUUGAUGGGAGAAUAAUAAUAAUAACAAAAGGAUGCUGUCCAUCAGUAAUGACUAGUUAAAUCUAAUAUUUCUAUUUCUGGGGGCACCUGGGUGGCUCAAUGGUUGAGCGCCUGCCUUCGACUCAGAUUGUGAUCCAGGGCCCAGGGAUCGAGUACCGCGUCAGGCUCCCUGCAUGGAGCCUGCUUCUCCCUAUGCCUGUGUCUCUGCCUCUCUCUCUCUCUGUCUCUCAUAAAAUAAAUAAAUAAAUAAAUAAAUAAAUAAAUAAAUAAAUAAAUAAAUAAAUCUUUUUUAAAAAUAAUACUUUUAUUUCUGACUCAAAUUCAGUCAACUAAGUGCAGUCAUUUGUCUAAUUCUCAUGUAACUAGAAGAGGUGUUGUUCUAUAGGUAAAUUAGACAAGAAACUUGAGAUACACACCUAUACUAAAGUGUGGAAAGUAGUCAGUACAAUAAAUACAAAUAAGUAACAUUUUUAAGAAAAAUAAAAAAAAACUCCAUAAAAGUUUGGGGUGAGAAAAGUUACUUCCAGCUAAGGAGCUCAAAUAAAAAUAUAAAAGUCAGGUUGGGCCUUCAAAGACUUACAGAACUGCACUAUCUGUAGAUGGAAAGAACGAAGGAUAAAGGGGGUACUUAUAGGCAAGGUUACUAUAUGGCUUCUGCGUGUUUAUGCAGCAGGACAAAAAUGAUAAAUGUUUACAUCUCCUCAGUCUCCUACCACUUCACUGUCUUUGCCCCUUAUCAGCUUCUUCCCCCUUCCACCCCAACCUCUAAAUAGGAUUGCCCAACUGGAAGAUAUUGAGUUAACAGACAAAAAAAGAAAUGGAAGACAAUUAAGAAUAAAGUCCAGGAAUACUAGGAGGAGAGAAGCACUUUCUUUAGAAGACUUGAAAAGGGAGCAGUGCCCUACGGAGGCAGUGGGUAACAGGCAUUUGUUCCCACAACAGUCACAUAACAUUUUACUUUCCUUUACAGGUAUGAUGUUGAAGCUCCAAGAAGUGAGUAACCAACCUUGUU
rnacentral:lncRNA from 1 species